rnacentral:rRNA from 1 species
UACAGAGGUCUCAACCGUUGUUCGGAUUCAUUGGGCGUAAAGAGCUCGUAGGCGGUUUGUCGCGUCUGCUGUGAAAACCUAAGGCUCAACCUUGGGCUUGCAGUGGGUACGGGCAGACUAGAGUGCGGUAGGGGUGACUGGAAUUCCUGGUGUAGCGGUGGAAUGCGCAGAUAUCAGGAGGAACACCGAUGGCGAAGGCAGGUCACUGGGCCGCAACUGACGCUGAGGAGCGAAAGCAUGGGGAGCGAACAGG